rnacentral:rRNA from 1 species
AUUGAACGCUGGCGGCAGGCUUAACACAUGCAAGUCGAGCGAGCGGCGGACGGGUGAGUAAUGUCUGGGAAACUGCCUGAUGGAGGGGGAUAACUACUGGAAACGGUAGCUAAUACCGCAUACCAUCGGAUGUGCCCAGAUGGGAUUAGCUAGUAGGUGGGGUAAUGGCUCACCUAGGCGACGAUCCCUAGCUGGUCUGCGAGGAUGACCGGCCACACUGAAACUGGGACACGUGCCAGACCCCUCCGGGAGGCAGCAGGGGGGAAUAUGGAACAAGGGCCGCAGGCCUAAUGCAGCCAUGCCGGGUGUGUGAAGAAGGCUUUGGGGUGGUAAGGCAUUUUCAGCGAGGAGGCUUUACUCGCAGAAGAAGCACCGGUUAACUCCUGGCCAGCAGCCGCGUAAUUC